rnacentral:rRNA from 1 species
GAUGAACGCUAGCGGCAGGCUUAAUACAUGCAAGUCGAGGGGUAGCAAGAUUGUAGCAAUACAAUUGUUGACGACCGGCAAACGGGUGCGGAACACGUACACAACCUUCCUACAGGUGGGGAAUAGCCCAGAGAAAUUUGGAUUAAUACCCCGUAACAUAGCGAUGUGGCAUCACAUUGCUAUUAUAGCUUCGGCGCUUGUUGAUGGGUGUGCGGCUGAUUAGAUAGUUGGCGGGGUAACGGCCCACCAAGUCUACGAUCAGUAGCUGAUGUGAGAGCAUGAUCAGCCACACGGGCACUGAGACACGGGCCCGACUCCUACGGGAGGCAGCAGUAAGGAAUAUUGGACAAUGGGCGCAAGUCUGAUCCAGCCAUGCCGCGUGAAGGAUUAAGGUCCUCUGGAUUGUAAACUUCUUUUAUAAGGGACGAAAAAAGGUCUUUCUAGAUCGUCUGACGGUACCUUAUGAAUAAGCACCGGCUAACUCCGUGCCAGCCGCCGCCGUAAUAC